rnacentral:ncRNA from 2 species
ACCGACAUGCAGGGGAACCCCGCACGGGGUUGAGAUGGGCCACAAGCCCGACCCUUUGAACCUGUUGGUUAAGACCAUCGUAGGGAGCAGAUAUGAGCAUCGA